GUGCGUGCCUGGGCCAGGGCAGCAGCUCUGCCCCAUGGGUCGCGGCGGGACUGGGAUGAGGCCCCACUCUCACCUCUGUGACCAGGGGGCAGAGGGAAGUCUGUAGCCCGACCUCACCUGCUGCAGGCUCCGAGCUCCCCCUCCAGGCUGGGCCCUCCAUGGCGCUCUGCCCGAAUUCGGGGCUGGUGGGAUCCAAGGGACAGCCCUGGGCGCAGGUGCCCGCACGGGGGAUUCAGGUCGAGACCGCGCCUGCGUGCCAUCUAGCGGCCGUGCUCGGGUACUGCAGCCCCUCCACCCCAGACUCCGGAGGCUCCUGGAAG
rnacentral:lncRNA from 1 species